rnacentral:rRNA from 1 species
CCUACGGGUGGCAGCAGUGGGGAAUAUUGCACAAUGGGGGAAACCCUGAUGCAGCGACGCCGCGUGAGUGAAGAAGUAAUUCGUUAUGUAAAGCUCUAUCAGCAGGGCAGAAAAUGACGGUACCUGAGUAAGAAGCCCCGGCUAACUACGUGCCAGCAGCCGCGGUAAUACGUAGGGGGCAAGCGUUAUACGGAUUUACUGGGUGGAAAGGGAGCGUAGACGGCAGUGCAAGUCUGGAGUGAAAGGCGGGGGCUCAACCCCCGGACUGCUCUGGAAACUGUACGGCUGGCGUGCAGGAGAGGUAAGUGGAAUUCCUAGUGUAGCGGUGAAAUGCGUAGAUAUUAGGAGGAACACCAGUGGCGAAGGCGGCUUACUGGACUGUAACUGACGUUGAGGCUCGAAAGCGUGGGGAGCAAACAGGAUUAGAUACCCGUGUAGUC